rnacentral:lncRNA from 1 species
UAUAUGGCCAAUUGUGACUUCACUCAUCGGCUAAGCAUGCACAGUAACAGCCUUUGCCCCAAUGGCAAAACCAUUGGGUGAAGUAGCAACCUGCAGGUUUUGCCCUCAGAUCUCAGCGUUUUUCUACAAAGGUGACAGGCCUCAGAUGCAGUCAGUGGGGACAAGGAAUUGUGACACUCGCGGUCUGAUCUCAACUGUUCCUUGCGGUCUGCAAGCACAGAGGUCCCAAUCCAGCACUAGCUUGUUCAUGACCACCCAGUAACAUGUAAGAGCUGAUUGGUAUUGUGAGCCAAAUGUGAAGCAUUGUGAGUACGUGUAUUGUGAUGCAGGAGGCAAAUGCGGGAAGCAAGAUUACCUAGAGCUGAUAGAAAUGUGCAGGCAGACAGACAUUGUGGUGGAGAUGAGAUGGUGUGAUCAGAUGAGUACUGCAGUGCAAAUGUGAAUGUACACCCAGAUGAUGUGAUUUCAGGUGUAAGUGCACAAUCAGAGGUGAUCACAGAUAGGACACGCCUGCUUCCACACAUGGAUCUGACUUGCUAGACAGAAGAGCAGCCUCUUUUUUCAAAGAGAAAACAUUAGGAAUCUGAUUUUAAGGAUUUGGCUGUAUCAGGAACUUAUGUUUUCUGUCAUGUAGAUUUUCCACAUCUGCUGCAGUUUGAGGGGGGAUCUUAUGGGGGAGGCAGGGAGGGAAUGCUGUCUGGUAUACCGCUGUGGAGCAAACACCCUCUUUAUUAUCUUGAUGGCCACCUGUCAUAUUUACUGUGGGUGUUACAUGUUCAGUGAAUCAGAGAAACAAAGAGGAUGCUCACAAAACAGAUAGGGAAGAAGAAGGGUGCAAAAAUCUGGGUGCCCACUUGCCAUUCCUGACAUGAACAGGUAGCUGGGGUCAUUAAAGCAGGAGGGACCAGCCCUUCCACAAUCAAGUCCCACUGUUUGAGGGGGGCCUGCUGUUACCUUUGUAACUUGGGACCUUCCAUUACCACUGGGAUAUUCACUUAUCCAUUGCCACCCUGAGAAGAGGACAAAAGAGGAAAUCAAUCUACAUUAAAUUAAAUAUGUUAACUUAGACAUACUGAUGCAAAUGUAGAAUAGAUUUUUCAUAAUUAAAACAACAUUACAAUGCAUCUCACCCGAACAGGGAGCACUGUCAUCUCUGUCCCUCUACUGCCCAUGGAGGUGUCCUUGGCUUUCUCACACAUCUUCCAUUUGGCGUGAGAAUCUCACUGGCUCCUGAGUUUGGUAAAAAAAAAUCUCAUCAGGUG